GACGAACGCUGGCGGCGUGCUUAACACAUGCAAGUCGAACGGUGAAGCGCCUUCCUUUUUGGUGGGUGUGGAUGGGUGGCGAACGGGUGAGUAACACGUGAGUAACCUGCCCCCUUCUUCUGGAUAACCGCAUGAAAGUGUGGCUAAUACGGGAUAUUCUGGGUCUGUCGCAUGAUGGGUCUGGGAAAGAUAUUGUUUCGGUGGGGGAUGGGCUCGCGGCCUAUCAGCUUGUUGGUGGGGUGAUGGCCUACCAAGGCGGUGACGGGUAGCCGGCCUGAGAGGGUGGACGGUCACAAUGGGACUGAGACACGGCCCAGACUCCUACGGGAGGCAGCAGGGGGGAAUAUUGCACAAUGGGCGCAAGCCUGAUGCAGCGACGCCGCGUGAGGGAUGGAGGCCUUCGGGUUGUGAACCUCUUUCGCCAGUGAAGCAGGCCUGCCUCGUUUGUGGGUGGGUUGACGGUAGCUGGAGAAGAAGCGCCGGCUAACUACGUG
rnacentral:rRNA from 1 species